GACGAACGCUGGCGGCGUGCUUAACACAUGCAAGUCGAGCGGUAAGGCCCUUCGGGGUACACGAGCGGCGAACGGGUGAGUAACACGUGGGUGACCUGCCCUCAGCUUCGGGAUAAGCCUGGGAAACCGGGUCUAAUACCGGAUAUGACUACGGGAUGCAUGUCCUGUGGUGGAAAGUUUUUUCGGCUGGGGAUGGGCCCGCGGCCUAUCAGCUUGUUGGUGGGGUGAUGGCCUACCAAGGCGGUGACGGGUAGCCGGCCUGAGAGGGCGACCGGCCACACUGGGACUGAGACACGGCCCAGACUCCUACGGGAGGCAGCAGUGGGGAAUAUUGCGCAAUGGGCGGAAGCCUGACGCAGCGACGCCGCGUGGGGGAUGACGGCCUUCGGGUUGUAAACCUCUUUCGCCAGGGACGAAGCUUUUGUGACGGUACCUGGAGAAGAAGCACCGGCCAACUACGUGCCAGCAGCCGCCGUAAGAC
rnacentral:rRNA from 1 species